AUUACUCCUACGGGAGGCAGCAGUGGGGAAUUUUGGACAAUGGGGGCAACCCUGAUCCAGCCAUGCCGCGUGCGGGAAGAAGGCCUUCGGGUUGUAAACCGCUUUUGUCGGGGAAGAAAUCUUCUGGGCUAAUACCUCGGGAGGAUGACGGUACUCGAAGAAUAAGCACCGGCUAACUACGUGCCAGCAGCCGCGGUAAUAAU
rnacentral:rRNA from 1 species